UACGUAGGGCGCAAGCGUUAUCCGGAAUUAUUGGGCGUAAAGAGCGUGUAGGCGGUUAGGUAGGUCCGUUGUGAAAACUCGAGGCUCAACCUCGAGACGCCGAUGGAAACCAUCUGACUAGAGUCCGGAAGAGGAGAGUGGAAUUCCUGGUGUAGCGGUGAAAUGCGCAGAUAUCAGGAAGAACACCCGUGGCUAAGGCGGCUCUCUAGUACGGUACUGACGCUGAGACGCGAAAGCGUGGGGAGCGAACAGG
rnacentral:rRNA from 1 species